rnacentral:lncRNA from 1 species
UGUGUGAAUGAGUAUUCACUCUCUUCUAUCUUAUAGAUCUGCUUAUUUCUUUAUGAGAUAUGUGUUAUGUGUGUGUGUCUCAUCUGUUAUGUGACAUAUGUGUUGAUUAAAGCAUGCUAUACAGGUUUUCUUUAAACUAUGUAUACAAAUGUAUAUUUUUAUCUACUAAUAUGGUUGGGUAGAACAUGGGUAGAUGGGUUAGUUGGUGACUAUGGAGUUAGCGCCUGCUGUUAGAUAAACCUUGGUGACUAUGGAGUUAGCGCCUGCUGUUAGAUAAACCUUGGUGACUAUGGAGUUAGCGCCUGUUGUUAGAUAAACCUUGGUGACUAUGGAGUUAGCGCCUGCUGUUAGAUAAACCUUGGUGACUAUGGAGUUAGCGCCUGUUGUUAGAUAAACCUUGGUGACUAUGGAGUUAGCGCCUGCUGUUAGAUAAACCUUGGUGACUAUGGAGUUAGCGCCUGCUGUUAGAUAAACCUUGGUGACUAUGGAGUUAGCGCCUGCUGUUAGAUAAACCUUGGUGACUAUGGAGUUAGCGCCUUUUGUAUAAACCUUGGUGACUAUGGAGUUAGCGCCUAUUGCAUAAACCUUGGCGACGAUGUGACUUCGUGCCUAUUUGAUGAACCUUGGCGACUAUGGAGUUAGCGCUUGUUAAGUAAACCUUGGCGACUAUGGAGUUAGCGCUUGUUAAGUGUACCUUGGUGACUAUGGAGUUAGCGCCGCUUGAGUAAACCCCGACGACUAUGGAGUUAGCGUCUUAUAACUAUGGAUUUAGUACUCGAUAGAUAAACUUUGGCAGCAAUGGAUUUCGUGCCGAUUCCUUAGGAAUAAGUGAAUGAAGGAUAGUUGGUUCUUAGGGGGAAACCUUAAGAAGAUGAUGGGGAUGGGUAUUUGAGUUGAUUGUUUGAUAAUUGAAUAUAAUAAAUGUAUUAUUGUGGGUUGAAAACCCUAUAUGCUCACCAGGCUCCCAAGCCUGACCCACUCAGUUUUCUUUUCAUUACAGGUAAUGACACAAGAGUAUAAGUCGGCGGACUUGACGAGAGAUUUUGGAUUAUAGAUCAGUAGUUGAAUAACUAUUGUAAGGUCUAUUUUAUGUUGUUUAUGCUUUUGGUCUGUAACGAACAUGACAUCCCGAGGUUUUAUUAUUUAAUAAAAAUACAUUCUUUUCGAGAAAUGUUUUGAUAAAAUGGUUAUCAUAUUUUAUUUUGGGAACAAAUUCCGCAACCGUUUUCUUUAAACGAUCACUCUGAUUUUGAAAACAAAGCAUAAACAAAUCGGUCUUUUCUGGCCGUGAAAUUGGGGAUGUCACAGUUGGUAUCAGAGCAUUAGUUUAAGCGAACUAGGAAUUUGUAGGAUUUCUAGACUUAAACUUAGAAUGCUAAGCAAUGAUUGCGAGUUGAGUGUGUCCAUUAUAUUUUAGGUAGUACACCUAAAUUGACACAGGCACUAUUUUAUUUUAGGAAAAUUGCCUAAAAUGCUUUUGCGUGCUAAAUGUUUUGUGUGAUAGCUAUAUUGAUGCUAUUAUUUGUUCGGAUCUAUGGUCUGUUGCCGACCGGAUCUGGAAACCUUAUGUGUAUAGGAUUCUAAGCGUACGUCUACGAUAUUAGAACUAGCAUAUAAACGUUUCGGAGUGAUAAGGAUGAUUUGAAUAUCUAUCGUGAUUAAGGAUCUAAUUUCACCAUAUUCGGUGUAUAGAUCAAAAAUGGUGAGAACGAGGAGUGGAGUUGGAAAUGCUGAUGAGAACAGGAAUCAAGUACCAGUAAUUGAACAAAUACCUGUUGUGGCAGCAGCGCCUGAACCAAUGACAAUGGCCGGAGUUCAAGUGAUGAUCCAGGCAAUGUUGAAUAAUCAGAUGGAAGAAACUAGACGUCUGAUCAGACAAAAUCGCGAGGAAUUGUCAAUUCGAGUAGAAGAGCCCGAAGUAAAUGGAGGGCAUUCUGAAGGAGGAAACUAUAGUGGGACCGUUGGUCAAGCCAACCCACCAAUAGUUCGCCAAAACAACCAGGAUAGAGGAAAUGAUGGACGUGGAUGCAAGUACAAGGAUUUCAUGGCAUCCAAACCACCAUGUCUUUCUGGGAGCCCGACACCGGUGCAAGUCAUGGACUGGAUCUCCGAAAUGGAGACAAUGUUUGAAAGUUGCGAGUGUAGCAACAGACAGAAGACCGCUCUUGCAAUCCCUCUGUUAAAAUCUGGAGUAUUGAGCUGGUGGAAGUUACUGGCUGGUUCAAUGCCUAAGGGGGAAGCUAGCAAGAUGUCUUGGGAAGAGUUCGUGGGGCAAAUGAAAAUGCAAUACUGCUCUGAGCAGGAUCUUCUGGAAAUCAACAAUGAGUUCCAGAAUCUGAAGAAAGGAAAAUUGAGCGUUACUGAAUACGCUACGAGCUUUACGGAGAAGAUGAAGCUUAUUCCAUACCUAAUUCCGACUGAACUUUCCAAGGUCAACAAGUUUGCCAAUGGAUUACCAGCGGACUUUGGUCCGAUAGUCAAACAAGCAACCACUCUGAAAGCCGCCAUCUGGGCAGCCAAAAAUGUUGAGACCCAAAUAAAAGAAAAGGGUCUGGAAAGGGCUGAAGUUGGAGAGAAAAGGAAGCGUGAAGGAUCUUCAAUAAUCGAUAAAGAAAGUAAAUUCUCGAAAACUGGAGGAAGAGAUGAGGCUAAGUGGUGUGAGAAGUGUAAGAAGAGACACUUCGGGAAAUGUAGCGAGGAGAUGACUUGCUACAAAUGUGGGAAGACAGGGCACUAUGCCAACAAGUGCGCACCUAACAAGAAGAUGUGCUAUAGGUGUAAUGGAGAAGGUCAUAUUUCUAAAGACUGCCCACAGAAAAACACACCUCCACAGCCAAGGGCAUUCAACAUGUUCCUCAACGAAGCAGAAAGGGAUGGGAGGGUUAAAGGAUGAAGACUUCAUAUUAAUAUAUAAAGUCGGUAAAGUCUGUAUCAGGAAGCAUAGCCUGUUAGAGGCAUAGUAUAGGGUGAACUUGAACUUUUGUGUAAUAGUUUCAAGAAUUAAUAUAAAUCCUAGUUUUGUUAUCUGAUGUGUUGAAUGAUUAUAUGAUUUAUGUAUGGUGACUUGGUUAACUGCGAGACAAUACUUGGGACGAGUAUGAGUAGGUGUGAAUGGUAGUAGAGAUCUAUACUACCGGAAGCACAGGACUCACGCUUGGAUCAGGGGAAGUCACAAGGUUAUCAAGAAGCUAGUAAUUGAUUCCGUUUUAUUCAAGUAUGUCAUUACCAUUGUUUCGGUAAUGUCUAGUAAGAUAGUUGUUAUUCCGACCCUAGGGGUCAUAUCAAUUGAGUCCGACUAUGAUGAGAGGUCAUCGGGACACGACCCAUCAGGGUUAUUACUUAGAAUGGAGAGAUAACUUAUGGAGUCAGUAUGCGAAUCCUAUUUCGUUGAUGAUUCCGGGACGUAAUCAUCCUAAGGGGGAGAUAAUUGUAACGCCCGUAGAUCAGGGCUAGUCAAUUUAGAGACAAUAAGAGUCAAAAAUGACUUUUUGAUAGAAGAUUAUUUAGGAUGAAUAAUCCUAACUAAGUUGUAGUAUAUGUUACAAGGUUUCCGUACAUAUAAAGAACGCCAAAAUCCGAGUUAUAACGAAGAAGUUAUGACCUGUCGAAGUUUCGCGACAGAACCGGCACGACACAGCGCGACGUAAAAAGUGAAUUUACGUUAGAGCGAUAUUUAGCCUUAGCAAUCUAAACGAGAAUCGAAGAUCUCGUUGUUGGUAUCGAAGCGAUAAAAAGUUAGGCGAGAACGGACGUCAAACGAAGAAGUUAUGAAUUUAUAACGAAGUUUUCUGUCGCGGCCUAUUAAAAAUAAAUAAUAAAAAUAAAAGUCAAAAUUAGCCGACGGAGUCUAAACGAAAGUUGUAGAGCGUAGUCUCACCUUCGCGUGGAUAUAAAGAACGUCGAAAACGGAGUUCGUAUGAAGAAGAUAUGAAUUUCCGAAGUUUAUUAAUCAAUUUGUAUUUAAAUUUAAAAGGAAAUUCGGAAGCAUUAUCCGAAGGAGUCACCGGUCUGAUCCGAGGUACGCGCCGCGUACUCGAGUACGCCCCGCGUACUCCGAAGUGUCGACAUUCGCAGCAAGUGGCUUCGGAUGACGCACGCAGUGACGUUUUUCGGACCAGUACGCCCCGCGUACUGGCGUACGCCCCGCGUACUCCGAGGCUCCAGCCUCCUAUAAAUAGGAUGCGAGGGCAGCCGACCCAAUUGCCAAUUUCUUCUCUUCUCUCUCCCGUUUUGCAUCGUUUUGCGUGCCAGAAAUACCCCGAAGCCCCGGUAUUAUACCCUAGCCCCGAGGCAAGUCCCGAGAUCCCGAAGAUCCCGAAAAGUGCGGUUCCCGAGUCGAAGCUCUGCCCGCGAGAAGUUUGAUUUUCGAGGAGAUCUUCCAGAUCUGCUGAGGAAUACUACUUCUAUAAGCCGUAGUGCUGUCGGAUCGUCUUCUGAUCAAGUGAGUGUGUAGUUAUUUCUUCUAAUACAAUAAUACGAAGUAUUUUAUAUAAAAAUACGUGCUAUGUGUAUAUAUUUGGUUGUGUUAUGUGUGAAUGAGUAUUCACUCUCUUCUAUCUUAUAGAUCUGCUUAUUUCUUUAUGAGAUAUGUGUUAUGUGUGUGUGUCUCAUCUGUUAUGUGACAUAUGUGUUGAUUAAAGCAUGCUAUACAGGUUUUCUUUAAACUACGUAUACAAAUGUAUAUUUUUAUCUACUAAUAUUGUUGGGUAGAACAUGGGUAGAUGGGUUAGUUGGUGACUAUGGAGUUAGCGCCUGCUGUUAGAUAAACCUUGGUGACUAUGGAGUUAGCGCCUGCUGUUAGAUAAACCUUGGUGACUAUGGAGUUAGCGCCUAUUAUUAGGUAAACCUUGGUGACUAUGGAGUUAGCGCCUUUUGUAUAAACCUUGGUGACUAUGGAGUUAGCGCCUAUUGCAUAAACCUUGGCGACGAUGUGACUUCGUGCCUAUUUGAUGAACCUUGGCGACUAUGGAGUUAGCGCUUGUUAAGUAAACCUUGGCGACUAUGGAGUUAGCGCUUGUUAAGUGAACCUUGGUGACUAUGGAGUUAGCGCCGCUUGAGUAAACCCCGACGACUAUGGAGUUAGCGUCUUAUAACUAUGGAUUUAGUACUCGAUAGAUAAACUUUGGCAGCAAUGGAUUUCGUGCCGAUUCCUUAGGAAUAAGUGAAUGAAGGAUAGUUGGUUCUUAGGGGGAAACCUUAAGAAGAUGAUGGAGAUGGGUAUUUGAGUUGAUUGUUUGAUAAUUGAAUAUAAUAAAUGUAUUAUUGUGGGUUGAAAACCCUAUAUGCUCACCAGGCUCCCAAGCCUGACCCACUCAGUUUUCUUUUCAUUACAGGUAAUGACACAAGAGUAUAAGUCGGCGGACUUGACGAGAGAUUUUGGAUUAUAGAUCAGUAGUUGAAUAACUAUUGUAAGGUCUAUUUUAUGUUGUUUAUGCUUUUGGUCUGUAACGAACAUGACAUCCCGAGGUUUUAUUAUUUAAUAAAAAUACAUUCUUUUCGAGAAAUGUUUUGAUAAAAUGGUUAUCAUAUUUUAUUUUGGGAACAAAUUCCGCAACCGUUUUCUUUAAACGAUCACUCUGAUUUUGAAAACAAAGCAUAAACAAAUCGGUCUUUUCUGGCCGUGAAAUUGGGGAUGUCACAGUUGGUAUCAGAGCAUUAGUUUAAGCGAACUAGGAAUUUGUAGGAUUUCUAGACUUAAACUUAGAAUGCUAAGCAAUGAUUGCGAGUUGAGUGUGUCCAUUAUAUUUUAGGUAGUACACCUAAAUUGACACAGGCACUAUUUUAUUUUAGGAAAAUUGCCUAAAAUGCUUUUGCGUGCUAAAUGUUUUGUGUGAUAGCUAUAUUGAUGCUAUUAUUUGUUCGGAUCUAUGGUCUGUUGCCGACCGGAUCUGGAAACCUUAUGUGUAUAGGAUUCUAAGCGUACGUCUACGAUAUUAGAACUAGCAUAUAAACGUUUCGGAGUGAUAAGGAUGAUUUGAAUAUCUAUCGUGAUUAAGGAUCUAAUUUCACCAUAUUCGGUGUAUAGAUCAAAAAUGGUGAGAACGAGGAGUGGAGUUGGAAAUGCUGAUGAGAACAGGAAUCAAGUACCAGUAAUUGAACAAAUACCUGUUGUGGCAGCAGCGCCUGAACCAAUGACAAUGGCCGGAGUUCAAGUGAUGAUCCAGGCAAUGUUGAAUAAUCAGAUGGAAGAAACUAGACGUCUGAUCAGACAAAAUCGCGAGGAAUUGUCAAUUCGAGUAGAAGAGCCCGAAGUAAAUGGAGGGCAUUCUGAAGGAGGAAACUAUAGUGGGACCGUUGGUCAAGCCAACCCACCAAUAGUUCGCCAAAACAACCAGGAUAGAGGAAAUGAUGGACGUGGAUGCAAGUACAAGGAUUUCAUGGCAUCCAAACCACCAUGUCUUUCUGGGAGCCCGACACCGGUGCAAGUCAUGGACUGGAUCUCCGAAAUGGAGACAAUGUUUGAAAGUUGCGAGUGUAGCAACAGACAGAAGACCGCUCUUGCAAUCCCUCUGUUAAAAUCUGGAGUAUUGAGCUGGUGGAAGUUACUGGCUGGUUCAAUGCCCAAGGGGGAAGCUAGCAAGAUGUCUUGGGAAGAGUUCGUGGAGCAAAUGAAAAUGCAAUACUGCUCUGAGCAGGAUCUUCUGGAAAUCAACAAUGAGUUCCAGAAUCUGAAGAAAGGAAAAUUGAGCGUUACUGAAUACGCUACGAGCUUUACGGAGAAGAUGAAGCUUAUUCCAUACCUAAUUCCGACUGAACUUUCCAAGGUCAACAAGUUUGCCAAUGGAUUACCAGCGGACUUUGGUCCGAUAGUCAAACAAGCAACCACUCUGAAAGCCGCCAUCUGGGCAGCCAAAAAUGUUGAGACCCAAAUAAAAGAAAAGGGUCUGGAAAGGGCUGAAGUUGGAGAGAAAAGGAAGCGUGAAGGAUCUUCAAUAAUCGAUAAAGAAAGUAAAUUCUCGAAAACUGGAGGAAGAGAUGAGGCUAAGUGGUGUGAGAAGUGUAAGAAGAAACACUUCGGGAAAUGUAGCGAGGAGAUGACUUGCUACAAAUGUGGGAAGACAGGGCACUAUGCCAACAAGUGCGCACCUAACAAGAAGAUGUGCUAUAGGUGUAAUGAAGAAGGUCAUAUUUCUAAAGACUGCCCACAGAAAAACACACCUCCACAGCCAAGGGCAUUCAACAUGUUCCUCAACGAAGCAGAAAGGGAUGGGAGGGUUAAAGGAUGAAGACUUCAUAUUAAUAUAUAAAGUCGGUAAAGUCUGUAUCAGGAAGCAUAGCCUGUUAGAGGCAUAGUAUAGGGUGAACUUGAACUUUUGUGUAAUAGUUUCAAGAAUUAAUAUAAAUCCUAGUUUUGUUAUCUGAUGUGUUGAAUGAUUAUAUGAUUUAUGUAUGGUGACUUGGUUAACUGCGAGACAAUACUUGGGACGAGUAUGAGUAGGUGUGAAUGGUAGUAGAGAUCUAUACUACCGGAAGCACAGGACUCACGCUUGGAUCAGGGGAAGUCACAAGGUUAUCAAGAAGCUAGUAAUUGAUUCCGUUUUAUUCAAGUAUGUCAUUACCAUUGUUUCGGUAAUGUCUAGUAAGAUAGUUGUUAUUCCGACCCUAGGGGUCAUAUCAAUUGAGUCCGACUAUGAUGAGAGGUCAUCGGGACACGACCCAUCAGGGUUAUUACUUAGAAUGGAGAGAUAACUUAUGGAGUCAGUAUGCGAAUCCUAUUUCGUUGAUGAUUCCGGGACGUAAUCAUCCUAAGGGGGAGAUAAUUGUAACGCCCGUAGAUCAGGGCUAGUCAAUUUAGAGACAAUAAGAGUCAAAAAUGACUUUUUGAUAGAAGAUUAUUUAGGAUGAAUAAUCCUAACUAAGUUGUAGUAUAUGUUACAAGGUUUCCGUACAUAUAAAGAACGCCAAAAUCCGAGUUAUAACGAAGAAGUUAUGACCUGUCGAAGUUUCGCGACAGAACCGGCACGACACAGCGCGACGUAAAAAGUGAAUUUACGUUAGAGCGAUAUUUAGCCUUAGCAAUCUAAACGAGAAUCGAAGAUCUCGUUGUUGGUAUCGAAGCGAUAAAAAGUUAGGCGAGAACGGACGUCAAACGAAGAAGUUAUGAAUUUAUAACGAAGUUUUCUGUCGCGGCCUAUUAAAAAUAAAUAAUAAAAAUAAAAGUCAAAAUUAGCCGACGGAGUCUAAACGAAAGUUGUAGAGCGUAGUCUCACCUUCGCGUGGAUAUAAAGAACGUCGAAAACGGAGUUCGUAUGAAGAAGAUAUGAAUUUCCGAAGUUUAUUAAUCAUUUUGUAUUUAAAUUUAAAAGGAAAUUCGGAAGCAUUAUCCGAAGGAGUCACCGGUCUGAUCCGAGGUACGCGCCGCGUACUCGAGUACGCCCCGCGUACUCCGAAGUGUCGACAUUCGCAGCAAGUGGCUUCGGAUGACGCACGCAGUGACGUUUUUCGGACCAGUACGCCCCGCGUACUGGCGUACGCCCCGCGUACUCCGAGGCUCCAGCCUCCUAUAAAUAGGAUGCGAGGGCAGCCGACCCAAUUGCCAAUUUCUUCUCUUCUCUCUCCCGUUUUGCAUCGUUUUGCGUGCCAGAAAUACCCCGAAGCCCCGGUAUUAUACCCUAGCCCCGAGGCAAGUCCCGAGAUCCCGAAGAUCCCGAAAAGUGCGGUUCCCGAGUCGAAGCUCUGCCCGCGAGAAGUUUGAUUUUCGAGGAGAUCUUCCAGAUCUGCUGAGGAAUACUACUUCUAUAAGCCGUAGUGCUGUCGGAUCGUCUUCUGAUCAAGUGAGUGUGUAGUUAUUUCUUCUAAUACAAUAAUACGAAGUAUUUUAUAUAAAAAUACGUGCUAUGUGUAUAUAUUUGGUUGUGUUAUGUGUGAAUGAGUAUUCACUCUCUUCUAUCUUAUAGAUCUGCUUAUUUCUUUAUGAGAUAUGUGUUACGUGUGUGUGCCUCAUCUGUUAUGUGAUAUAUGUGUUGAUUAAAGCAUGCUAUACAGGUUUUCUUUAAACUAUGUAUACAAAUGUAUAUUUUUAUCUACUAAUAUGUUGGGUAGAACAUGGGUAGAUAGUUGGUGUGUAAUAAACAGAUGAGAGGCCUCGUUGUUGUUUCAUUUAGUCAUCUAGCGGAGUUUAGAUGACGACCACAUACUUUUCUAGAUAGUCUUGUGGAAACAUUAGCAGGUUCGCCACCUGUAGGUGUUAAUGAACUUGGGUGUUCAUUUGCUGUACUCCAUCCCCCUCAUGGUUGCCUUAUUUGACUUAUAUUGCUGAGGUACCCCCGAAGCAUGUGUUGUCGCCCCGAUGAAAUAUUCUUAGACUAGGUCCCUUUUGUUAGUUGUUUUAGGGACAUUAAAGUGAGAAUAACGGGAAUGAGUAAUUGGGUUAUUGUUGGUUGGUGAAAAUUAAAUAUGAUAUUUAUUGUGGGUUGAAAACCCUAUAUGCUCACCAGGCUCCCAAGCCUGAUCCACUCAGUUUUAAAUUGUAUUACAGGAAGUGGCGGAAGGGCAUGAGAUGGAUGAACCAUCAAGUUGUUUUGUUUACAAGUCUGCAUAUGUUUAUAUUUGUUAUAUGACUUGUAAUGUAUUCGUUUAUGCUUAUUGGUCUGUAUCGGAACAUGACACCCCGAGUUUUGAUUAUAAUGAAAAUACAUUUCUUUUAUGAAAUGCUUCAGUAAACAUUGUUUUAUCAUGUUUUGUUUUUGGGAACAAAUUCCGCAACUCUUUCAAAUCAAAAGGAUUUACUCUCAAAAUAUUUAAAAGCAUAAAUGAAAAUUGGUCUUUUCUGGCCGAAAUUUUGGGGAUGUCACAUUGAUCAAGCCCAAUCCAAUCCUAUUUGUUGUACAAUUUGAUUCUCAACUUGCAAUUCAUUUAAAUCAAGAAUUAGCCCAAAACCUAAAUUAAUCAUGUUAUGUUCAUGUUUAAUCCAAGCCCAUUCUUAACAAAUAUUUGAUCCAAUAUUGUUCAUCUAAACCAAUAUAUGACCCAAAUCUGUUUGUUUUUUUUUCGUGAAUAUUAUUCAUAGUUGCGUCAUUGUUCACAAGUUUGUCAACAUCUAGAUUUAUCAAGAUCUGACUUGUUUGUUCGAUUAAUUCACGAUUAAUUUUUUUGGUCAAUAUGUUUGUCUGAUAAAUUGUUUCAAUCGUUUUGUUUGAGUCGCACGAUCAGAAAUCGUAUCUCAAAAUCAGGAAAUUUCACGAUUAAUCUUAUCAGCAAUUUUGUGUUUCUCUUUGUCGAUCUUUGCUAUAUUCAUAAUUCUUGAACUGAUUUUGAAAUUGAUUUUCUGAUUUAUCAAUCGAUUCUUGAGCUUAAAUGCUCAAGAACAUGACAAAGAUGACUUUAUUUUUGAAAAUGGGCGUUUGAUCUGAAAUUGUUUAAAGAGUAGUUGGUUUUGAUGUUUAUGGUUGCAAGGAGAAUGCUAAAUCGAUUGAAGUUGGUGUUCAUUUCACAUUUGGGAAUGACUUGAGGGAUUUGAUUUGUAGUUGACUUUUUGGAGUCAAACUUCAUUUGACUAAUGUUGUCGUUGAGAACGAAGGGUGAUUAUCUUGAACUUAAAACAAACAGUUUUUGAGUCGAAAUUGGUUGAUUGGAUCCUUUGAUUUCGAAAUCAAGUUCAAUUGGUGACGAUUGGGUUGAUUUUAAAUUUGGAUGUCGAAUGUCUUCUGAAAUCGACUUGGGAUCGAGUUUAAGUGGUUGAUUGUUGAGUCAACUUCAAAGGUUUGGAUAAUUUCGAUUGUUGAGUAACGAAAAUUCGAUUAGGAAGUCGAUAUUGAGUUUGGCGUGGUUUGGGUUAAUUGAAAUCCAUAGUCGAAUGGUUGAAAGCGAACAAUGUUGUAUUGUUCGUUAUCCUGAUGUCGAAGUUUUGAAUGAUUGGAGUCAAGGAAUCGAUGUUUGUUAAUAGAUGGAUUAAUAACGAAUCGAAAGGGAUGUUGAUUGUUAGUUAAGUUAAUGUCGAUUGAUUUAAACUGAAAGAUCGAUGGUAUUGAUUUUGGGUUAGUGAAUGAAAAGCGAAGAGGUUAAUAGUUGAUGUUCGAAGGUUUGGUAUUGGUAACGAAAGGAAUGGUAUGUUGUAUUUUGAUGAAAGCAAGGAAUGAAAGGUAAGUCGAAGAUUGAAAAUUUGGGAUCGAGGGAUGAUGGUCGUAGUCUGAUUUCGAAGGUCAUAAGGAUAGUGUUCGAAGAUUGUUACCGAGCAUUGGAUUCAAGCGUCCUUAUGUGGAAUCGAUUGCGAAGUCAUUACCAAGUAUUGAUGGUCAAUGGUUUUGAGCUGAUGAAAAGAGAAGUUUCGAAAUGGGUUGAACGCU